AUUGGAAACCACAAUGCACGUGUCAAUGAUAACAAUAACCCUUUCAAAGAAGGAACUGAAUACAUCCUCUGUUGGGUACCAGCCUCCUUUACCUGCAGAACAGGUGAAGGCAUCCACAGAGUUUGAUUAUGAAGGAGAGGGCUCACCAAAUGGUCGUGGUUGGGGCCGCGGUGGCAAAGGAAGGGGAAAGGCUAGAG